GAUGAAUGCUGGCGGCGUGCCUAAUACAUGCAAGUCGAGCGAAUGGAUUAAGAGCUUGCUCUUAUGAAGUUGGCGGCGGACGGGUGAGUAACACGUGGGUAACCUGCCCAUAAGACUGGGAUAACUCCGGGAAACCGGGGCUAAUACCGGAUAACAUUUUGAACCGCAUGGUUCGAAAUUGAAAGGCGGCUUCGGCUGUCACUUAUGGAUGGACCCGCGUCGCAUUAGCUAGUUGGUGAGGUAACGGCUCACCAAGGCAACGAUGCGUAGCCGACCGGAGGGGGUGAUCGGCCACACUGGGACGAAGACACGGCCCAGACUCCUACGGGAGGCAGCAGUAGGGAAUCUUCCGCAAUGGACGAAAGUCUGACGGAGCAACGCCGCGUGAGUGAUGAAGGCUUUCGGGUCGUAAAACUCUGUUGUUAGGGAAGAACAAGUGCUAGUUGAAUAAGCUGGCACCUUGACGGUACCUAACCAGAAAGCCACGGCUAACUACGUGCCAGCAGCCGCCGUAA
rnacentral:rRNA from 1 species